rnacentral:rRNA from 1 species
AGAUCAGGCAGGAUUACCCGCUGAACUUAAGCAUAUCAAUAAGCGGAGGAAAAGAAACUAACAAGGAUUCCCCUAGUAACGGCGAGUGAAGCGGGAAGAGCUCAAAUUUGUAAUCUGGCACUUUCAGUGUCCGAGUUGUAAUCUCGAGAAGUAUUUUCCGCGCCGGACUGCAUACAAGUCUGUUGGAAUACAGCGUCAUAGUGGUGAGAACCCCGUAACUGAUGCAGAUGCCCGGUGCUUUGUGAUAUACUUUCGAAGAGUCGAGUUGUUUGGGAAUGCAGCUCAAAUUGGGUGGUAAAUUCCAUCUAAAGCUAAAUAUUGGAGCAAGACCGAUAGCGAACAAGUACCGUGAGGGAAAGAUGAAAAGCACUUUGGAAAGAGAGUUAACAGUACGUGAAAUUGUUGGAAGGGAAACGCUUGAAGUCAGACUUGCUAUUCGGAGUUCAGCCGCAAGGUGUAUUCUUCGAUUUGCAGGCCAGCAUCAGUUUUCGGGGGUGGAAAAUCGUGGUUUGAAGGUAGCAACUUCGGUUGUGUUAUAGCUUUCCACUGG